rnacentral:rRNA from 1 species
GUGUUUACAUGGCGAAAUUCUUAGUGGCGGACGGGUGAGUAACGCGUGGGUAACCUACCCAUAAAGCUGGGACAACCCUUGGAAACGAGGGCUAAUACCGGAUAAUCUUAGAUGCUGGCAUCAGUAUUUAAGGAAAGAUGGCCUCUGCAUAUGCUAUCGAUUAUGGAUGGACCCGCGUCUGAUUAGCUAGUUGGUGGGGUAAAGGCCUACCAAGGCGACGAUCAGUAGCCGGCCUGAGAGGGUGAACGGCCACACUGGGACUGAGACACGGCCCAGACUCCUACGGGAGGCAGCAGUGGGGAAUCUUCCGCAAUGGACGAAAGUCUGACGGAGCAACGCCGCGUGUAUGAUGAAGGUCUUCGGAUUGUAAAGUACUGUCUUUGGGGAAGAACGGUCUCCUUGAAAAUAUUGAGGAGACAUGACGGUACCCAAGGAGGAAGCCCCGGCUAACUACGUGCCAGCAGCCGCGGUAAUACGUAGGGUGCGAGCGUUAAUCGGAAUUACUGGGCGUAAAGCGUGCGCAGGCGGUUCUAUAAGACAGAUGUGAAAUCCCCGGGCUUAACCUGGGAACUGCGUUUGUGACUGUAGGACUCGAGUGUGGCAAAGGGGGGUGGAAUUC